UUAUUCCUCUCCUCUUGUUCAGUCGAUCUCGGUUUCAAGCUUCAACUUUCAACGUCGUGCUGUGUGUGUGAAACCACCAUGAUUGAUUGAUUGGAAUAUUCUUCGAUCAGACAGACGCCAAAUCUUCCUGACGGUAAACUGCAUUCUCGAUUGAUCGAUUGUUUGUUUGUGUACUCAUCAGUGCCAAACGCCCAGACUUAGUCCUUCCUGCUGCGCUGAUUGAUGUAGCUUCUUUGGCUAGGAAGAACCCAUCGGCACUUUCACGUCCGUUGGGGAAUCAUUGCAUCUGUUUGAGGAAUAAAACUACUAGGCAAUGCAAAAGAUGGCACUUGGAGGGGCCAUCUAAAAUCUAAAGGCUAAAACUCACAAACAUCAAGAUUGACAUUAAAAGAGUCCCUAAUAAGAAAACCAUGGUUACUGGUAUAGAUGUGAAGAACAAGUGAAAGAACAGUUCUAAGGGAAGAAAGAUUAUCUUCUAAUUUUUAUAUUCUUGAAAAAAAGGGUACAACUUGAACUUAUUAUUAGUUAAAAAAAGUGUGUUAUUUACAUGUCGGUUAGCAUCCAGAUUUUGAAAGCUCAAGAUGGCUGUUCAUUGUGAGGAAAAAUGGAGAAACGUGGAUUUGACGAGUUCAUUUCAUCAUUUGCAACAGCUUCAGCCAUUGUUUAUAGUGAUUACUUCAACUGGGAGCUCUGUGUGUUAAUAGGGAUCUUGGAGCGGACCUUGUUGAAAAAAAGACGGGCCAAGAUCUGAUAAAAAAACAGGGUACUCUGUUUUAGUCACUGAUGCCGCCGGCUUCGUGGGACCCAUGUCAGCAUCGUCUUGAAGUGCCCACGGUGUUUUAGGGUUGCAUAAUUUUAAUGAUUGUUACGUUCCUACCCUCAAAAGGGCUAGUCAACAUUUGUUGGAAAAACGUGGGAUUUUAAUAAUUGUUACGCUCCAAUGAAGAAAGCCAGUGAGGAAAUUGCGCAUACGUAUAAUCAUAUUUACAGGUUGGCUUUAACGGGUUUAAGGUUUUUAUGGUUUAUGGACUGUGGGGUGAUAUGGCUUAUUUUUUCUUUACAAAAGAUAUCUUGAAAGAAAAAUCGAGACCUGUCUUUACAGGUCAUGUCUACUUUAUUUAUCAAUUCUUUAUAAGAUAUUGUAACAUGAAUAGAUACCUUUCAAGUUAUUACCAAGUGAAUUACAUCUUUCUAGGACACAAUGUUGUUGGGAGAUUGACUUUGUGCGGAUCACAAUCAAGCUAAUACUAAGCUAAUACCCUAGAUUGAUUAUUAGUUAGUUUGUAACGAAAUAUUAAUUAAUCAAUAUGUCAAGUAUCACUGUU